UUUUGGUGGUUUUGAGGAGUUAUAAACUCUUUAUUUCCAUUAAGAUACCAAAAUACCAAAAUGUGCUUGGGCACGCCUUGUCGGCACGGCGGACCUGACUUACGCCACGUCACCGGCGGGGAACAAAAAUAGAGCCCCCAGUGUUAUUUCAGUGAAACUGUGAACUUAACUAACAUUGAGGAUACAUGGGGGGCAACAGAAAAAGCUUCAGAUUAAGCCAUCACAGAGCAACACCAACAUAAAGAGUCCUUUUCUAUCACGCUGAUGAAUUUAAAUUCACUCUUCACACUCUUUUAUUUGCUAAAAAUGCUCCAGAGUGUUCACCAACUACCAUUUAACUAUGUGUGUCUGAGGUCCUGAGCAGGUAUAGUGUACGGUGAGCCUUAAAGGUGCUGUCUCUGGAUAAAGCUGCCUGCUGCAACCAAAUAUACUGAUGUGAAGAACGAGAGUAAUAGGUACAGAUGUUGGCUAAAUAAAAAAUAUUAAACAAUGCCACAAAACUCUCAAAAGGGUUUGAUUUAAAUGGCUCAAAAAGUACAGUUAUGUCAAAGUACAGUUAAAAACAUUGGGAGUUCUAGGAAAUCAAACGCCUUGUAGGGAAAUCUGCUGUUUGGGUAUUGUGAAACCUUUCAGGACUGUAAAAAGACAUUUUCAACAUGCCAAAUCAGUAUACAAUCUAGAUUCACCUUAGCUUAACCACUUUAUUGUUCUUUCACUGAUUAUUGAAGAAUGUCUCACAUACUUUCUGAAGUCCUGUAGAUGUGGGGGUUUGAUGCUUUAUGUGCAUUUUAUGAAGACAUUUUCCCUCCACCCUUGUUUCAGCUGUAGAUUAAACAGACUUAUACACCCCUAUAUCUUGUUGAUCUAAGCCUUGGACACAAUUAAGUUAGCAAGAAAGUCAUCUCUCAUUGGGUAGUGACUUUUUAAUUGCCUAUAUUUCAGUCUCUCUCCUUGGUUCUCAAGGUUGCAGUCUAAACAUGGCAUACAUUAAAUACAUUAAAGCUCCAACAAAGUUUUAAGUGCAUUGGGAAUAAACAGUACAGUAUAGAAAGUAAUAAAGAAUCAUAGAAGUGAUAAACAAAUCAAUAUAUCUUGGAUAAAUAUGAAUUUUAAAAGCUUCAGGUACUUAACUUUUAAGUGCUGCUGCCUACUAUUUAAAAGUUUAUUGCAUAUUUUGUUUAAUGAAGAAAAUCACAGAUACUCUCCCACUGCUUCUGUUUUUUAAACUCAAAUGUAAAUGUGAAACCAGCCUGUUGUCAGUUUAUGAUAUGAAAAAGUGAACUGGGAAACUUUUGUAACUGCCGUACUACCUUGUUUAGAAGAAGGCAAACAAAGAAAUGGAUUACAAUAAGAUCUAAAACAGGGCAACACAAAACUUAACCGCAUAGUAUGAGCAAUACACUUCACAUUCACAGUCUCCCCUAAUGGUUAAUUUUGAUAGAAUAAAUAGGAUACCACCAAAUAUAAUACCAUACAAAAAAAUUCAGAAUAUAAUACAUUGUGUCACAGCACAACAUGAUGAGCUGUGGUGCAGUAUACUGUACAAUAUAUUUUGAUACAACACAUCUUAUGUUUAAACUCUGUCACUCCUGUUCAAACUAGCCUCUACAAAAUGAUACAAUGAAAUAUAAUAUAGUGAUAAAAUACAACAUACAAUGCAGUUUGACACAGAACAGUACGAUACAGACAGACACAACAUGUCAAGACACAUAAUGACAAAUAAUACAAUAUGAGACGAUACGAUAAGGUAUAAUAUAAUAAGAUAGGAUUUGAUACAUUAGGAUGGGACACAAUGAUACAGUGCAAUACAAUGUAAGUUAUGUGGUAUGUAAGAUAUUAUACCUUACAUACCACACCAAUCAACACAAUACUUAACCGUUUGCUUUAACACAACAUGAUACACUUCAAAUUUUUAGACUGUCUAGCUGACCCCACAGUAGCUUGAACAUUAGUAUUCGCCUUUUUCCCCAGCUGAUUCAGAUUGCACUGUUUGUUGUAUGCAGCUGAGACUAACCUGUUAAUGUCAGUGUUUCUCCUGAACCUAUUUCAGACAGCAUUUGAAAACUUCCUGUCAAAAGUUUUUCUUUUAAACUGCCUUCAAAGUUCUUUGGUAAAACACACAUUGAUGGACUUUGAGUAAAUUGAAGGAACUCUCUUAAUGUUCAGGGACUACGCGUAUAUAGAACAACUUAACAUAUUUAAGUGUGCUGUGAGAGGCGUCGGGUGGUUCAGUUUACCGCGUGCCCCCGCUGGCCUGCAAUUGAAUCCUACCAGAGCCGCUGCUUCCCUUCUGUCUCCCCCUCUGCUGUCUCAACAAUUAAAUCAGUCAAGGUGAGCGGGCUGCCCACUCGAUUUCUUUUUGUAUAAAAAAUAAAGCAACAGAUGAAAGCAUGGGCUCAUAUAACAGUCCACUUUGUGACCCACGACGCAAAAGAGUUGUCUUAUUAUGAAACAUUUCACCUGUGUGUCAGUGGUUGCCAUGGAGAUUUUGUGCAGAAAUGCGAGGCUCUACUUAAUGGUCUGACCUUAACCUUGCACUUUCUCGGCUGUACGCUUUCAUGAUGUUACAGACACAUGGGCAUAAUUUAUACCACAAAUCAAUAUUUCAGCAGCAACAGUCUAUUCUCUCACCUUCUCCUAACACAUGAAACAUUUCUUUUAUAUUGAUCCAGCCUUCAAUAAUCAUGUGGAAACUUGUAGAAACAGAUUCAGAUAUUUAUACAAAUACAUGUAAUGUUUUUUCUUGAACUGAUUUCCAAGUCUUGUAAAGCCUUGAAGCACCAUUUACAAACGUCACCCCUCCCCCAAUCUGCAUUUCUCUCUCUGCCCUUUUUUGCCCCUCUGUCCUGCUCUCUCUCUUUCUCUCUCUGUCUCUCUCUCACACUUUCUCUCUCUCUCUCUCUCUCUCUCUCUCUCUCUCCCCUCUCCACCCCCUACCCCCUCCUACAAGCUGUGUCUCUUUCCUGUGUGCUGGGGGGCCAGCAGAGGGGAAGUACACAGUGAAGGAAAAGCAUUCUCUGAGUUCAAGUGCACAGGCUUAAAGACACAGCUGGCUUCAACAAAAGGGAAUUUGACAAGGGGAAAACAGUCGCGGAAAGGCAGAAUAAUGACCUAUUGACAAGGCAGUUGUGUACACCCAGACAGUAUAGGGAUCAUUUCACAAAAAGAGUGGGGGGAGUGUAUAAAAUUUGAACAGGAAAACGGCGAAAAAUGUCUCCUCCCCUUCUCCUCUCUCCACGUAUACUCCUCCUAUUCCCUCCCACCUUUCUUUCUUUCAAUCUCUGUCCCUCCCUCUCUCCUUUCCUUCAUUCCUACCCAGCAUGCAUGCACGCUAACACACACACAGAUACACACACGAUGACUGAUGGCUUCUCUUGCAUUCUCCGUUUUCUCAGCUCUCCAUGUAGUGUAAGGUGGAACCGGUUCAGCACAGCUCCAGCACACCAUUCAGAGGGAAAAAAAGUACUAAUCCUGUACUUUUACCCCACGCUGCUGAUAUUCUUUGUCCAUAAGGCAUGUUUUCCUUCAAAGUCCCAAGCACGGAGGGGUGAAGAGGAGAGAAAUGGUGUCUGAGGAAGAGGAGAAUGAGGCGACAGCGGAUAAAAUGUGACGAGACUGGAGUGAAAUAGAGAUGCAAGGCUGCAAGUCAAGAGGGGAGGCACCAACUCGAGAGUGAGGGAGAGGGGACAGAGGAGGAAUCAAGUUGGAAUCGAGAAAGAAACGCGGGAAAAGGUAAAAAAAAAAAAAUAGAAAGGAAGCUGAUCCCUGAAACAUUAGCUGUAAUUCUUUUAUAUGGGGUCAGUUACCUCUAGAUGUGUGAUUUAGAGAGCAAAGUAGUCACAAACACACAUGAUUGUACACUUCUCGCUGCCUGUGUGCUCUUGUUUUAGUGCUUGGCUCUGCUGUACUCUGUGUUGGUUUGUGUACCUAAAGUCAUUUUCCUUCCUCCCACUCCCGCUGGAACAUUUUCCCAUGUCUCCAUUCUUCUCCCAAAACCCCUGCAAUGUCUUUUAUGUACUGUAUUUCCUUGACGGGAUAUUUAAGUUUUCUAAAAAUGAAAAAUUAACUCCUGCUUAAAAUCCUUGUUCAGAGUUGGUCAAAAACUCAGGCUUGUUUUGGGGCCCAGUUGUGAGGGCGAAGGGAAAUGAAGAACAGGGUCAGGGUACACACUUUCCUACCUAUACUAUAUUGGAAACGCGGUUAUGAAUUUAAUGAGUACUGAGGUCUUAGUUGGAGAGUGAAUUCCUGGGUUUGAAGAUUCAGCUGUUAUGAAAGUGUUAAAAAGAUGACACAAAGUAUUUGAAAUAUUUGCCCAUCAUCCUCCCUGCUCUGGAAUUGACACGUCCCACCCUCUUCUUCCCCUCACUGUGUGUCUGUGCUCUCAGUUUGUGUCCCUGUUACACUAUACAUAACCAAAGCUCAUAUUUGUCUCUCUGCAUCCACUAACGCCCAACCUACUGCUCCUGGUAGUCUUUAUACCUCAGCCCUGCUGCCCUGUUUGCUCUCAGCCUCGCUUCCAUUGUUACUAUUGACAAGUUACUGUUGUCCCACGCAUGUGCGCUGAAGGACCUGUGAUCCAUCCUCAUUCUGUCCCUGCUCUUCACAAGCCUGUCCAUCUCCAUGGAGAUCCGAUACCGGCUCCCAGUAACUGAACCCCUGACAUGCAAACAAACUCAUGAAGAUUUCCUAGUUUCCUCCCUGAUGGGGUGCACCAAUGAGUAAAGAGCAAACAUUGUGAAGAGGUGACUGUGCAGAUGUUCUCCUUGAUGGUCACGUUUUUGAAUUUCUUGACAUGAUGCAGCUGAGGAAAAUUAUCUUUGCAGAUAUCUUUUUUGGUUACGAGUGUUUUGGUGGCAAACACAGUCAAAUACAAUGUGUUUUUGGCCUUGUGCAUGAGCAUAAAUUUGAUCUAUAUUUUGGACAAAGAGUUGCCUGAUCUCGGUGAUGGAGUCCCUUUGAUAAUUGAAGUUUAAUACAAUGAACUCAUUCAGUUUAAACUCCAAGAGGAGCUCUUUUGCCUUAGCCUCAAUCAAAAAGUUUUAAUUCAAAAGUGAACAAAGUGUGAGAACCUAAAGAAAUCAAAUUACAAAAUCUGCUCAUUUUAUUAUCAAAAUUGUUCUGGGUAAAUAGGUAACAAACGGAGAGUUUGCAUUGCACCAAUAGUUAGUUGGUCUAUUUCCCUGAUGAGUUUAAAUGCUAAUCAUGUUUUAUUAACAAAUCGGUAAAGUUUCAGAGCAAAGUUGCAGCAGGAGCCAUUUUCAGAGUCCAAGUUGAUUUGAUUUGGAUGCUUGAAUUUCUUAUGUUCAAGCCUAAAAUAUUCAAUUCACUGUCCUAGAAACUUGAGUAAACCAGGAGAAACUCAUAUUAGAGAUAUGGAAAUAUGUGAUAUGACUGCGAACUAUACUGAAUGUUCUUUCAACGCCUUAAUCAGUUUUGUUAUCGAGCCAAGGAGGCACCAUACCAUUCUUUCUUUUUCCUCUUUCAUAAAGACUCCAUCUAAGAUGCUCAUCAAAGUCAGCACGCCUCUCUGUAUGCUGUGGCUCAAUGACACUUGAACAAUAGCAGGCUUUGUUUUGGUAUCAAACCACUUCUUUCAACUUUAACAGAUUUUAGUUUUAAUCUUUCAAAGCCCAUUGUUAUACUGCUACAUGCUCUGAUACCUGCGGAGGAAAUAGUCUGCCUGUUGCCUCCACAUAGGUUUUCCCCGUAUUUAUUUGAUUAAACCAUUGAAAGAAAAAAAAUAUUAAUUAUAACAAUACGACUAAAAUUCCAAUGCCCUGUUUGUGCACGUUCCGCUCCAUAAAUAUUGAUCUUAUUAUCUCCUUUUGAUUAAACAUUUAAUUCUUGCAAAAGAUAAAAAGAGAAGGAAACCUUUAAUAAGUGAGAGCCUCUUGCUGCUGUCGUGUCAGGCUAUCAUAUCAUGAUGUUUAAAGCAGAGGAGCAAUCGAGGCAUUCAGUGCAUCUCUAAAGCGAUGUUUCUUUAUAACUUCACUGAAUACUUGAGCAGAAAUAAUGGAUUACUGCGGCUCAUUGUAGUGACAAUGAAUGUGUAAGUUAUAUAAAAGCUCCUCAACCUGAGGCCGUCACAAAUGAUCUAAACAUAAGAGCUCAGAGGAAGCCUUUCAUAUGUCUCACUUUAUAAAACAUAGCUCAGCCUUCGCUAUCAAUUAUGUUGCUCCAGCAUGAAAGAGAUGGCAAAAAGGGCCACACACAACAGGCGUCGUGGAGAGACAUCGCUGCACCAUGUGACUGCUGUGGAUGGACUGAUGCUCUCUCACGGCUGCAUCAGUGUUAGUCAGCCUGCUUGAGGACAGAGGGCUGACACAGGACGAGAGCUGAGGGGGCUUCAGUGCUUUACAGACACAGAGAUGAAGAGAUUUCUACGGUGCCAUAAAGUUUUUGAGCUCUUUUAUUUGGAGGUGCAGGUCUUUGGUCAAUCGGGUUGUUGCUAAGUUUGAGAUUGUUGAUUACUUUAGAUGCAUUUGUCUUUGUGAGGUACAUUUUUAAAUUUAUUUCAUAAGAUUUUCCUCUGUACUCCUCUGCAUUCAUAUGAAUGACACUUUUUUUUAAAUACCCUAAUUACUAAUGAAGCAUAUUACUGACUUGUUCAACAUGAUGCCAUUCCAAAGAUCUAAGUGACCUAAGAAUACAAUAAAAACCUACCCAGGGUAUUUUCAUUUUCACUUUAAAUUAUUGCUGUUUGACAUUGUGCUUGGUGUAUUCAAAAGUGUUUGAAAAAACAGAUAAAAGACACGAUUAUUUUGCACAUUAACAACGAGUCACCUCAACAAGCAAGGUUUUUCUUUUUGUAAAUGGUUAUUUCAGCUAUGAAAUACUGUGGCUGUAAAAGAUAUGUUUACUGGCAGUGGUUUGUCUGAGGUGUUUCCAGACUUUUUCUGUCAGCUGUCUUAAAUUCAAAAUUAUGAUUUCCAUGAGAAGCCAGGCUUGGCCGAUAUGCAGCAGGCUCAGGUGAAAUCUGCCUCGAGUAAAUGUGCAGUGUGAUCUACAUGUCCAUAAUGAGGCUGCUUAAUACUGCUAUUGUUCACCAGUAUCAUUUGUAUGAUUUGAUGACAUGAUGCCUAAAUCCAUGUAUGCAGAUUCACAUAAAUUGCUUCACCCAGACUAUAUAGCCAAUUUUCUUGUCCCGUUCCGCCCCCUAAGGCCCCCCACUUUGAAAAAGAAAAAUAAUAAAAUAAAUCUAUCAGUAUGAAAUAUCCUGGAUGUCUCGAAAUGUUCCUGAAAUUUUCAGGGAUGCAUUUGUGUUAAUAGAACAGGUCUUCCCUUUCACUUCACAUUCUCCAUGAAUCAAUCAAUUAAUACCUUUGAUUCAAGGAAAAUGGUAUUCAUAAGGUGGUGUGGAAAGAAACACUUUAUAUGAACUCACCUUUUACAAUGCAUCAUAGACACACACAUAGUUAUCUUUAGACUUUUUCUUGGCACUCAGGUAUAACCCAUUCAAACCAUACCUUUAUAAGGCAUUUUGCUUACUGCUUAUAACACUCCAUAAACAUUGCUGUAAGCUGUUAUGAAUGCUUUUUUAUCACUCAUAAGGAUAAUUAUAAAGCCUUGUAGAGGCAUUAAUAGGGCAUUACAAAUGUGCUUAUGGUGCACUAUAAGAAAAAAAAAUUGCUUUGGAUAAGUUUUACUCAGGCUAUAACUCCCCCUAAAAAUAAAACAAGUUUUUAAUCUGUUUUACUGAGACAUUUUGCAUGCUUCAGCAAAUACCUGGGUCAAUAUCAUUAAUCCUUUCUACUCCCUUUACCUUUAAAAAUUUUAAUUACAGACCCAUAGAUUUUCUGUUUAUUUUGAUCAAAUUCUGAUUCCUAAAAGUCCUUUUUCUUGAGCAGCUAAGCAAAUGCUUCGUUAAUUUUAGUUUUUUUUUUUUUUUUUUAAUCUUUCAGUACACAAAGUGAUGGAACUUUUUAGCUAUUAACAAUAAGUGAGUUUGUCUACAUUUGUAACAGGAUAUCAGGGUAUCAGUGUACAAAUGACCACAGGUUGACUUUCAUUAAGAUCAGGUGUGAAUUUAACCGUAUUAGGUUGAAUAUUAUGUUGUCUUAAUUGAGUUUCUCUUCUUUCACUGCAGCGUUAGCCUCUAGCGACCGAGCUGGUAUCAAUGAAUAGUUCCUCAUGCGGGGGCCAGGUGGCUGCCUGGUGCAUUCAGAUGGUGGCUAAGGUGGUGAGGUGGGGGUUAAUAUUUGCAGGCUGUAGGAAUGUGUUUGGAGUCAGCAGAGAGAAUUCCUCAGUUCUGCAUUAGUAGGUCUCAGCGUUACCUCUUACCUCGACAAACUAUCUCAAUCCCAUCUUGUCUGCCUUGCUCCUGAUGCAUGUCUUCAUCCUCUACGUUGUGUCUGGUGUUUUGAUCCUCAGUGUCUCACCUCCUCUCUUUUUUUUUUUUAAAGAUGUCUCGAAGAAGCCUAAAGAGCUUCAGGAUUUGGGGGUUGGGUAAAAAGCAAGAGAUAAUGAAACUGUGUGAGUGCAAAGAUGUUCCCACACAGUGCUCUGGUAGCUUCGUGUCCUUGCCUGUAUGUCACUCAUGUCUGAUUUAAGGGGCAGGUUCCGAAGCAUGGGCUUUGUUGUUGUCAUCAAGUAUUUUCAUAUGUCAUCUCACCACUUGCGUCAAGUGCAGACCAGGAAAUAGUCACCACUUGUCCACACAAUCACUGUUUUUACACACAUAGAAGAUACAAAAACUAUAAACCAGCAGCAAAAACAAUCCUCCCAAAAUCAUUUUUGAAAUUGGUGUUAAAAGAUUUGUAAAGACAAAAUUAAUCACCUUACAGGGCAAGUGGCCACAGGAACUGGAUCAGAUUUUUUAUAAAGGGUUUCUGAGAAUAGAAAUGGUUGUGUUUUGUUGCUUAUGAGCUCUGCAUUGUCCUCUUUUACAAAAUAUGCACAGUACUUACCAGCUGCAGCCUUACAGGCAACAGGCCCCCCUACCUAGCAUGCUGAAAAUGCUCUUGGUGUGUGUGAAGAGAAAUAUAACCUGAUUUUUUUUUUUUUACUGAACAAUGCCAAUUCUUAAAACUUAUCAUACAGUUUCAAGGAAACAAAGCCUCAUUUAUGUAAGUGGCAUAUUUAAGGAACAUUUUGUGGUAAAACUUUUUUUAGCAAUUCUAAAAAUGUAUUAUAAAAGACAAUAAAACAUUGUCUAAACUGCUUUUAAAUUUCAAAAUUAACAUAAAGUAAGAAUUAAGAGCAUAUGCCAUCAUUGUAAAAUAUAUUACAAUGCCAAGUCUUUAAAUCAGUUGUAAAACUAUAAUAAACUUGGUAUCUUACUGUGAUUUAUGAAAAAUAAGCAAUGGGAAACAACUGUGUUUUUUUAAGUUAUUACAUUAAUAUAUUAAUUCAACAAAGAUUUUAGAUCACCGUAGCCUGAGGCCUUAAAACGUCUUAGAGUACGUAGACCGAGUGGUUAGAAGCAUCGUUGCAUCUCCCCCAGCAACAUAUUGAUGUCAUUCACAAGGCUCUUCAUUACGCUUUGCAGUGAUACACGCACUCUGCAGAGGCGUCGGAGGUGUCGGCUACCCGCAUCACUCAGCGACACCAUGGAGUGUGCCAACUCUCUGGUGCCAGACAGAGAGGAGGAGGAGAGGUGGGCACGGUGUGAAGAUGGAGGGGAAAGACAGAGGAAGGUGUAAAGAAACAGGCCGUCUCUAAUUCAUACAUGUGGACAAAAAAGCAAAGAGAGGACACAUUUGAAGGAAGGAGGAAAAAAGAUAAGGAAGGUAGCAAAGAGGAGGACGCAUUGGUGUUUAUUGUCUGGCAGCUCAGUGAAUCACUAGGAAGAGCGCCUCACGGUUCAAGGUUUCGACAGCUCCUAAGUGAUAAAAAUUAGUCAGCCUGAUGGCAGAAAAUCAACUGGUUGAAGUGAAAGUACAUAAAUAUUAGCUGUCAGUGUAUAAAAUAUCAUCGCAACAAACUUCCCAGGUCAAAGAUUCAGGAGUCACUGGUCGAAGUAAAGCUGCCGGCUGUUCUCUGGUCAGUCUGAGUCGUCAGGGUCACAUCUGUAAGAUGAAAGGAGAGGCUGCGGUUGGUUGCUUCCACAGAGGGAUGGAAAGGUCAGGAAGUGGCCCCAGCACAAACACCAGACUCAUUGUUCAAGUUCAAGGUAACACUGAAUGGGGGUUUCAUUCAGUUAGCUCAGCCGGCCGUCCUUUGACAAGUUGCUGUUUUUAAAAGGGUCUUAAAUGGAGGAAAACAGAGCCAACGGCUACGUCUGACUUUGGUGUCAUGCUGUUAUAAUUGUUAACUAAUUAUGUCGCUUUUAUAUAUUUAAUUAGGGUUUUGGUGUGGAUUGGGGUUUUGAGUAGUUGCCUGUUUGGUUUGCCAUAAGACCUUAUCAAUGUGUGUUUCAGUGUGUGUGUGUGUGUGUGUGUGUGUGUGUGUGUGUCUGUGUGUGUAUGCACGUGGCCAUCGCUCAGGUGUGUCCACUCCCUGACCUCUCAGACAAUGAACAAGGUCACAGUCAGAGGGUCAGAUGUCAGGGCAUCGUUUCCCCCCUCUCCUCCCUCUUACCCUCCCUCUCUGUUGUGUCUGCUCGGUCGUCGGCUCCUCAUUAACUCCUCACAGGGGAUUUCCUGUUCUCCUCCUUUGCCUCCCUGUUCCUGUUCCAAAAUGGAGCAGCAAAUUAGCUCUCUUUACAAAACAUUAAUAAUUCAAUCUUUUGAGCCGAAUAUGCAAACCAACACACCUCCAAGUUGUACUUACAUACGCUUGGAAAGUGAGAAAGGUAGUCAGAGCAUGAUUGGAUUGGCUACUGUGCCAAACCUUUGGGAAGUGUAGGGCUGUAAUUGAUGACUUUGUGCACCAUACAACAAGUACACAUCCACACACACACACAAACACGUGCGCACAAACACAUAAUUCAGAGUCUGACUCACCCCCUGUAACAGAAAGUCAAUAACAAUACAGGAAUGAUUAAUCAGUCCCUCUGUGGCCCCGCCCUCUCCACUCACCACCUUCCACUCGCUCUCCUACACCCUGCUUACCCGCUCUCAGCUUGGUAUUGAUCUGAAUGCAUUUGCCUCCCAUUUAUCCGUUAGCCCUCACUCCCACACCCCCAUCGUAUAAACACUGCCACUGCAUCGAACGGUCACAAAGAACCUUUUGCAGAGUGUCUCCAAUGCACACAAAUAAACACACACACUCACAAGCACACGCACAUGCACUCACAGCAGCAGUGUGCACACCAUCUGAUCUCCGAUAGGUAUAACACUUAACUGCAUCGCACACAGGGAUUUGUUUUGAAUGUUCCAAAGUGCGAAUUUUGCGUGCGGUUGUGUUUGUUUGUUGCGCACGCAUUUCCCUAAACACAAGCUACAUUCUUUAAGGUUUAACUGACAGCUCAUUCGACCCCCCUUGUUUCACUCAUACCCAUUCUGGUUGGUGGCACACAGGUUGCCAUGACACCAGACUGUUUUGUCUGCCCUUUGACCCCUUUAAGGGGUGCUGUGGUCAAUCAGGCAUUACAUGUGAGGGGCAAAUAGGAGGGAGGUGAGGGAGGGGGGUUGCAUUUCCUCUGUAAAAAAUGGGGUCCUAAAGGUUCCCCUCAUACAUCCGCUCUGUACGGAGCAGAAGGUGGGGAGCCUCUGAGCAGUUUGCCGUGAAACAAAGACACAUGUGCACAUGCAGACAUGGCAGCACUGUGCAGGGGUAAAUGAACUAGGCUGGAGCUCCCAGGGGGCGGAGAGUUAUUAUGCUCAUUGUGCAGUCGGCCAGCUAAAGCUGUUGGCUGCUUCUUUUGAAGUUAUAUUUAUCAAAACGGAGCAGGAGGCUUAGCACUCCAAGCUGGUGCUCAGCUUUGUCCACACUGUAGAGCGCAUGUGUGCAUGAUGAUCACUGCCUGAUAUCAAUAUUUGAAGAGCAACUUAAAUGUUUGUCUAAACCGGAAAAAGGAGCAUGAAAGUGAAUUUAUGUUGCAGUGUGUCAUCAGUGGAAUUCUUGGGAAAGACUGAUGAUGAUAUUAAUAACCCAUGACAGAGUCUGGAUCAUCAGGCAGCAAGUGUACACAGUGAACUUGGAGCUGAUUGUGUUUGGAUAAUUUGGCAAAUAUUCUGGCGUGUAUUAAGUCGGCAUACAAGUAAUUAAGCAAGCAAAACAUUAAUGUCAGGCAUGACUUUUAAAUGGAGCAAUUAUGUCUUUCCCUAAAAGUGAAUGAGUCACGUCUCCUAAUAAAAUAUGGACUGACAGUCAAUGUAAGGAUGGAAACUCCCCAUAAACCUAUUUAUUUAUUAUAACCAUAUCUAACCAUUUUAUUUUAAAUAAAUUUUAGUGGAAAGCAAAAGAACAAAAGAGUUGCC
rnacentral:lncRNA from 1 species